UUUUUUUAAAAAGAUGAUUUACAAAUGGCC
rnacentral:piRNA from 1 species